rnacentral:rRNA from 1 species
AAUAAGCGGAGGACAAGAAACCAACCGGGAUUGCCUCAGUAACGGCGAGUGAAGCGGCACAAGCUCAAAUUUGAAAUCUAGCCCUCGAGGACCUCGGGGCUCGAGUUGUAAUUUGGAGAGGAUGCUUCGGGUGCGGCGGCAGUCUAAGUCCCUUGGAACAGGGCGUCCUAGAGGGUGAGAAUCCCGUAUGCGACCGGCGACCAACCCCGUGUGAAGCUCCUUCGACGAGUCGAGUUGUUUGGGAAUGCAGCUCUAAAUGGGUGGUAAAUUUCAUCUAAAGCUAAAUACCGGCCAGAGACCGAUAGCGCACAAGUAGAGUGAUCGAAAGAUGAAAAGCACUUUGGAAAGAGAGUCAAACAGUACGUGAAAUUGUUGAAAGGGAAGCGCUCGCGACCAGACCUGCCCGCGGGCGAUCAGCGGCGGAGUUCCCCGCCGUGCACUCGCCCGCGAUCAGGCCAGCAUCGGUUCCGGCGGCCGGAUAAAGAUCUCGGAAAUGUAGCUCCCUCCGGGGAGUGUUAUAGUCCGGGGUGCAAUACGGCCAGCUUGGAACCGAGGACCGCGCUUCGG